AAAGAAGACUGUGGAGCAGAGCCAAGCCAAGCAAGCCAAGUGCUUCAGUAGAUGAACAGUGUUAUCAACAAUCAACACAAACUUUACUGAAAUAUUCACAAAUAAAAAUCCUCUGUAAGUCAUUGAAAUGUUUUUCUAUGUAGUAAAAGUAAUCACCAUUGGAGACUGGUGAAUUUGAAUUUAUUCCUAACCACAUACAUGGUUUAUAUAUUAACUUUAUUAUAUCCUUCUUUGUUUUUGAGACAGAGUUUCGUUCUUGUUGCCCAGGAUGGAGUGCAGUGGCAUGAUCUAGGCUCACUGCAACCCAUACAUGGGUUCUCAAAUUGGAAGAUUCAACCUGGUUACCUUAAUAUAUGGGGCUGGCUGUCAAUACCUGAAAGCUAGUCCCAGCAAGUCUGUGGAAAAAAUGAUGUGAUUGGAAACUAAUCAUUUAUCCUUAGUGCUUCAGUUUCUCCAUCUGCACUGAGAAGUAACCU
rnacentral:lncRNA from 1 species